UUGGCAAAGAUCAAACAGCAAUAAACAAAGAACAAACCAGAAACAACAGUAAACAACUAGAGAUGGAUAAGAUAGUCACUCACUCCACCAGUAAAUGUAGAAUUAUAAACAGGACUAACCUUACCUUUCCUGCAUGUUCAGAGUUCUACAAAAAAUAAAAUGAUCUCUCUAAAUUAGUACUACAAAUAGUAUGGAUUUAUAUACAAGUGUAGAUAGAGAAAGUUAAGAUACAAUAAAAUUGUUUGGGGUGAAUGCUUUUUAAUAAUCAGGAACAAAGGAAUUAAAUUAUCAAGGGUGUAUGUGGUAUCUGUGUGGAAUGACAAACAAUAUGGGUCAAUAAGGAAAUAAUACGUUUCCAAUAAUGUGAGGUUUAACUAAUUAGUAUUGUGAAAAUCAGUUACAAAAUUUUGUUUCUUGAGCAGUAGGUCACAUGAUUUGUUUUCUUUGAUUAAUCCUCUAUAUUGCUUUCCCAUUGUAUAGCCAAUACUUUUUUUUGUUAAUAGCUCAUCAGAUCAGAGUAGCAAAUAGAAUGUACUAACAAGAGAGUUUGUCUUAGCUUGCUUCAUCUUCUCAUUGGUAUUGCAGGUUUCACACUCGAUUACUUUGCUUCUUUUGGGAAAAUGCAAAUGAUAGGUUGACAAGUUUAGUACUCUAAAGUGUCCUCUAAUAUGAUAAAUAGUCUUUACAAAAGAAACAGGAUUUGAUACGUAGUAAAAAAAAAUUGUCAAUGACUAAGGUCUACUAGCUGAACCGUAUAUGCAUAGUCUCCACGCAUGCUAAACAAGUUGGAAUAAAAAAAGAAAGAUAAACAAUAACGUAUGUAGAAGUUCAUGUGGGAUGAUUGCCAAAUGUGAUUUGGAGCUCAGUUAGGUAAUUGAGCUAAAUCUGGUGGUUUAGUUCUUCAUUUUUUUCUGUCUUUUCUAACCCUUUUUUUUUAUAUAUAAAUACAUGGACCUAGAACAUAUUCUAAUUAACUGGUCUUUAUUUUAUUCGAAAAAAUAUUACUAAAUUUACUUCAUGUAUCAGAAUACUUUAUUUGUUAUAAAAGACAUUGUUGCUUACUAUGACAACAUUUAUUUUUAUUUAGGCAGAAUUUAGCUGCUAGCUUUUUAAGAUAUGUACAAUAUGGUGGGCUAGAACCGGUUGUUUCUAAUCCAAAUCCCCUGUUAUAAUCAACACUCUUAUUAGACACUUUGUUGUCAAUACUACUUUUACAUGUGUUUUAUAUAUGGUGGAAAAUCAAAGGAUGUCCCAGAAAGUAAUCAGCAUUGAAGAGAUCGAUGAUUCUAGAGAGACCUGAAAAUUGGUUGUGAGAAUAACAAAUAUUUGAAGCAGAUUGUGGUCUCAAAAAUGGAUAGUUGAAAUGAUCUUUGUUGACAAAAAGAUAUCAUUGGUGAGUUAAUUGAUAUAGAGCAAUGGCAACUUGAGAGUGACCUAAAGAAAACUGUUUCGACUCCGAGGAAUGAAAGGGGUAAUACACUCACAUGCAAUUUGUGGGGAGCCUUUGCAAUCCAGUUGAAAACCUACAUGGAUAUGAAUCAAAAGGAGUCUGGGCCAGUGGUGAUCUUACUGCAACUAGCCAAGAUUAAAGUAGCUAAAGGUUUGUUACCAUGAAUUUACUAUAAUCAAUUUGUUAUAUUAAAGUGUAUUUUGUGUUAUUUUUUUGUCUUGGAUUUGAUUCCUUUUUAUAUUAAUCUAUAAUUAGGAAUCAAUCUCCUCUGUAUUAAAAACUUAAAGAAUGCUUCAUUAAUGAAAGCAUCAAAGAGAUUGAGGAUUUCAAAAAAAGAUAUUUAUUUAUUGAUUUGAUGUAUUAUUGUACAAUACAAUGUAAUCACCACUGUGUGAUGUCUCUAUAUGUAGUUUGAAUUCAAGUCGGA